UUCAAUAGAUAACCUAGAUAAACAUGUUACGCUAUCAGCAUCUCCUUUGGUUUUUGUCAAUGUGGGGAUACAGUCUGUGCUGCUCUUCCUUGUGUACUUGUUAUUCAAAUGGAAAUGUCUACUGUAAUAAUCCACAACAAAUGUUAUAUGCAAUGCCUUCAGAUUUACCUUCAAAUACUAGAUACCUGUAAGUACUAUAUAUAUAUUUCAGAAUAUCAAAUGUCUUUUAACAUGUAAUUUAUGUGUACAAUGAUUAAUUACAAUGAUUUCACAUAUUAAACACAUGUAAACACGUUAUUAAUUACGACCAUCGUAACAACCUCUUUAAUACAAUGUCGCAUAGUUGAAACAGCAUAAGCUCAUGUGACAUGACAUCAUUUCUUACUUAUCACCUCAUGAAAACGCCUGGUUAUUUUAAGUCUGAUAGCUCAGCAUUAGAAAGUGUUGUUCUUAAGUGAAUGGUUAUUUGGUGAACGUCAGAAACGCUGAUUAAGAUGUUUAUCGUGCAUCAUCGCAUCAAAAGCCGUAUCCCAACGCUUAAUGCACUUCUUUGAUAACUUGAAAACUAGCAUUAUAUUCUUAUUCCGCACCUCCACUUACCAAUUGUAAAUUAUGUGCAUCAGUCGGCGUAACUUCUCGCAGUCGAGGCUAGAACGCUUUCUGUCAUAUCAGUUUAUUUAUAAAAGUAAAAGAAGUUUGAUUUACAUGAGUAAGUUUUAAUGCUCCAGGUAAGUGGAAAGUAAAAUCCCAAAAAUACCGAACUCAGAGGAAAUUCAAUACGGAAAGUCCCUAAUCAAAUGACAAAAUCAAAGGCUCAAACACAUCAUACGAAUAAAUAAAAACUGUCCUGAAUAGGCUUACCCUCUCGGAGCACAUGAGAUCAUACCCAGGUUCGAGUUAUAACAUUUUAGUUUGUAACCCGGAUUUUUUUUUUUUUUUUUCUCUAUCGAUUUAUGAAUUUUGAAUAGCAGUAUACUAUUGUUGUCUUUAUUGCUUAGUCCUUAGUUUUAUAUGAUGUGUCAUGUGUACUAUUGUUUGUCUAUUAGUUGUUUUCAUUUUGUCAUAUUAUUUUUUUAACUUUGAGUUAGACUUUCCCCUCUGGUAUCUUUUGCCCGUCUUUUGGUACGUGCAUUUUCUUGUGUAGAAAGUGGUGAAUUAAAACUGAUUUUAUAGCUAUUUAAACAUUUCACUCAUAUGACAGUUGUAUAAAAUUCCAUUAUAAAGACAACGAUGUGCGAACAAACCAAACAGACUAAAGAGGUAUUUAAGUCAAAACUUAGGGUACAGCAGUCAACAUUGUUUCAUUAUCUUAUUCACUAUGAAAACACAACACAUAUAUAAAAAAUCAUUUUAUAGUUCGUUCUGAUUUUGUACUGUUAUACCAAUGUCCCAGGUUAGGGGAGGGGGGGGGGUCCCGCUAACAUAAUUAACCCAGCCACAUUAUUUUUGUAUGUGCCUGUCCCAAGUCAGGAGCCUGCAUUUGAAAGGCCGUACGGUGACCUAAAGGUGUUAUUGUCUGUGUCAUUUUGGUCUUCUGUGGACUGUUGUCUCGUUGGCAAUCAUACCACAUCUUCUUUUUUAUAUUUACCAUGAUACAAUAACACAAUGACGGAAUUUAUCAGUGCAGAGCCACGUCAUAAGUAACAUAGAAAUACAGAAAAAGACAUUAGGAAAAAAGAAAAAUUGGAAUACAAACAUUAUGUUACUUAUUGACUAUUGGACCGCAAAUGGUCAAAAAAUAACAUAAGGAUCUAUGAGCUUCGGUUCCGCAGCUAUGGCGGGAUGUUUACAUAUAGAUCCAUAAAUGGAAAAUAUUUUUAUAAAUAUACAUAUCAAAUUUAGUUAAAAUAAGGGAAAUAUUCAUUAGUAUACUACAUUUCACUGUAAGACAAUAGGAUAGCAUAGAGUAUCUGACUUUUUAAAUCCUGACAUAAAUGUAAUUUUAAGUAAUCAUGUUAUAAAAGAGGGUCGAAAGAUACCAGAGGGAGUCAAACUCAUCGAUUGAAAAUAAACUUAUAAGCCAUGGCUAAAAAUAAAUAUUUAAGCAGGCAAAUAAUAGUACAGAACACUAAAGACUAAACAAUAAGAACCCCACCAAAAACUGGGGGUGAUCUCAGGUGCUCUGGACAGAUAAGCUGAUCCUGCUGCACAUGUGAAAACUGCAAAAAAAUAGCAUGAAAUGAUAGCUCAGGUCAAUUCUUUUAUUGGCAUUUUUUAUAACUCUAUUUCCAGCUACUUUAGUCACCAGCUGUUACAAAAUCUCAGCUCUUUGAAUUGUAAUCAUUUACCGAACCUUCAAUAUUUGUA
rnacentral:lncRNA from 1 species